GACUCCUACGGGAGGCAGCAGUGGGGAAUAUUGGACAAUGGGGGAAACCCUGAUCCAGCGACGCCGCGUGUGUGAAGAAGGCCUGCGGGUUGUAAAGCACUUUUAGUGGGGACAAAAAGCUACGGAUUAAUACUCUGUGGUCUUGAUUUAACCCAAAGAAAAAGCACCGGCUAACUCUGUGCCAGCAGCCGCGGUAAUACAGAGGGUGCGAGCGUUAAUCGGAAUUACUGGGCGUAAGGCGCGCGUAGACGGUUUUGUAAGUCAGAUGUGAAAUCCCUGGGCUCAACCUGGGAACUGCAUUUGAAACUGCAUGGCUAGAGUAUCGAAGAGGGAAGUGGAAUUUCCGGUGUAGCGGUGAAAUGCGUAGAUAUCGGAAGGAACACCAGUGGCGAAAGCGACUUCCUGGUCGAAUACUGUCGUUCAUGUGCGAAAGCGUGGGGAGCAAACAGGAUUAGAUACCCUGGUAGUCCACGCCGUAAACGAUGUGUGCUAGACGCUGGGGG
rnacentral:rRNA from 1 species